rnacentral:rRNA from 1 species
GGAGGCACCAGUGGGAUUUUUGCCCAAGGGGGGAAACCUUGUUCCACCAAUCCCGGGUGUGUGAAGAAGCCUUGCGGGUUUUAAACCAUUUUCUGUGGGGAGGAAACCCUAGGGGUUAUAUCCCCGUGGCUUGGCGGUUCCCUCCGGAGGAGGCCCCGGUUAAUUCUUUGCCACCACCGCCGUUAUUACGGGGGGGCCAGGCGUUAUUCGGAAUUAUUGGGGUUAAAGGGGGGUUGGGGGGUUUGUUAAUUCGGAGGUGAAACCCCCGGGUUUACCCUGGGAAUGCCUUUGGAUAUUCCCGGCUUGGAUUUUGGUGGGGGAAAUGGAAUUUCCGGGGGUGGGGGGGAAAUGGUUGGUUUUUGGGGGGACCCCCGUGGGGGAGGGGGGUUUCUGGUCCAAUAUUGCCCUUGGGGUCGGAAACCGUGGGGGCCAACCGGGUUUGGAUCCCCGGUUUGUCCCCCCCUUAAAGAUUGUCACUUGGAUUGGGGGCGUUUAACCUUUAGUGUCGCAGCUAACGCGUAAG